rnacentral:rRNA from 1 species
GACGAACGCUGGCGGCGUGCCUAACACAUGCAAGUCGAGCGAAUGAAGUUCCUUCGGGAACGGAUUUAGCGGCGGACGGGUGAGUAACACGUGGGCGACCUACCUCAUAGAGGGGAAUAGCCUUCCGAAAGGGAGAUUAAUACCGCAUAAGAUUGUAGCUUCGCAUGAAACAGCAAUUAAAGGAGCAAUCCGCUAUGAUAUGGGCCCGCGGCGCAUUAGCUAGUUGGUGAGGUAACGGCUCACCAAGGCGACGAUGCGUAGCCGACCUGAGAGGGUGAUCGGCCACAUUGGGACUGAGACACGGCCCAGACUCCUACGGGAGGCAGCAGUGGGGAAUAUUGCACAAUGGGGGAAACCCUGAUGCAGCAACGCCGCGUGAGUGAUGACGGUCUUCGGAUUGUAAAGCUCUGUCUUCAGGGACGAUAAUGACGGUACCUGAGGAGGAAGCCACGGCUAACUACGUGCCAGCCGCCGCGGUAAUAC